UUGUUUAAAGCGAGGCGUGGUUCAAGGGCAACGUUUCAAACUGUGUUGUCAUUGGUGGAUUCCAUCUAGUAGGUUGUGACAGCACAUUAGACUCAAACAAACUCCAUAUGGAGUGAAGAAAAUAGAGAAAGCCUCAGAGGAUGCUCUGAAUGUCCUCACUGAAGUGUUUUUUAAGAUACACGUAACAGUAUAGAUGAAUUAUGUGAGACGAGCGCUAGUUGCAUCAGGUUUAGUGAAGAUCAGCAUUCAUCUAAAAAAAGAAGUUAUCAACAACUACCCAAACAAUAAGCCAUGGGUAAGCAAAGGAUUAAAAUAAAUACUAAUUGAGAAGAAGAAGGCAUUCAGACUGAAAGACUGAGAUAAAAAUACACACAACGAAUAAUAAUAUGCAUACGAAGAAAGGCUAGAACAGCUGUUCACCUCUAACAACACAAUAAUGACUUGGCAAUGUUUGUUUUUUUUAAUUAUAGAAAAAGCAAUAAUUGGAGACGCACAAAGACGGACAAACAUUUCCACGCCCAGCAGCAACCUUAGUCAGAAUAUUAAUAAACUGAAUUCGUUUAACGUUCGUUUUGACAACCAUGACUUCUCCGACCUGCUGACAGCCGUGAAAGAGACGAUUCAGAGUUACCACAGAGACAACAGGAAUAACACAGACGAGAGCAAGCACAUUUUUGUGGUUAAUGUUCAUGAGAUCAAGACCAUGUUUAAUCAUCUGAAAAUCACAAAGCGAGUGGAGUUAAAAGUAAAAUUAUGAAAAUGUGUUCUAUCUAGUUUUCUCCCAUUUACGCUGAUAUUUUCAAUAUGCCCUUGAAAGAAUGCGUAAUACUACUCUCGUGGAAAUGAUUCGAAAUAAUUCCUGUCCCAAAGAAACAAUCAGUACAAAAUUUGAAAGGCCUUUGACCUGUGGCUUUAACAUCGAUCCUCAUGAAAUGUUUAGAAAAGUUACUCCCGAAAAAAGAAUUGAGGAAGUCAACAGAAAAAUAGGAUAACAUGCAAUUUGCCUAAGGGGCGUAAAGGAUGCCAAUCUCAUCAUCUUAAAUAACAAAUAUAUACAGAUAGACACACGACGAAAUUACUGCAGGAUCACCAUCAAUAUGUAAAACUAAAUAGUGUAAAAUCAGCCCUAAUAUUCACGAACAUAGUGCACAAUGUUUUGUAAAAUCCCCUGUUUUAUUACGCUCAAGACCAACGACUGUAUUUUUAAUAACAAAACCCCCCCGUCAAACCAAUAAAAUUUGCAGAUGAUUCCACUCUCUAAGGCCUUAUAACAACGAAUGAGAAUGAAUACAAGGAUGCAUUACGUGCAUUUACAAAUUAUGGUGUGAUAAUCAAUUCCUUUUACUAAAAUUAAAUGGAAAAAGUCAAAUGAAUGAAGUAUAGACUUAAGAAUUUAAAAAGACCAAUUGUAACCACUAUUCACUAAAGAUGAGGAAGUGGAGCUUGUAUACUCCAACAAAUAUCUUGGAGUAACCAUCGAACAACAAGCUAGACUGGCUUCCCCACGCUGCUCUUGUGCAUAAAAAUCGAAUCAAAGAAAGUUCUUCAUAAGGAAAUUAAGACGUUUGCUUGUUGAUAACAGUAUUAUGUUCCUUUUUUUUUUUUACAAUUCUAUGAUCGAAAGAGUGCUGCUGAUUUGUAUUUUCUCCUGGGCUGAAAAUUAAGGAGCAAGGCAAAGGAAAAUUGACCGAAUCUUAAUGAAAGCCAGCAAGAUCACUGAAUAUGAUUUUAGUAGAGUAAAUGAUAUGUAUAAUAUCACAAGUAUACAAAAAAUAAACACCAUUAUAUAUGACCCAUCAAAUAUUCCCAUAAAGGAACAAAUGAUCUAAAUCCUUCCUGGAUUCGAACCUAGAAUUAGUUGGCUAUGUUGUACAGAUAACGGGCCCUCAGCGGCUUCUGGUAGUCAGGAACAGGCAGUACUAAUCGGAAGAAAGGUUGUUUUUUUCAAACGCAAAGACGCAAAACGCUACACAUCUGCUUUGGUUAUUGUAUUCUUCUUGUAUUGAACAGGAACUGAACAAAGAUGGAUGCUCUGCCUUUCCUGUUGGCUUUGGUCUUUUUAGCUGCCCUAGUUCCUUCAGUGGAAGCUCAGGCACUGGAUGUCCUCUGUAUUAUUCUGGAAAUAAUGCAAAACUAUUCCCUGUGCAAUAUCCCGACAAACAUCUUCUGCUUUGUUCCAAAGCUUCUUGAAGACAUUUUGUGUCGAUUUUAAGCAAGGUGACCUUUGCAAGCGUUAUUCGCAGGACUUGCAGAAUGGGGGCAGCCAUCAUCUAAUAUCAUCACUCAAGAUCUGUUAGUCAACAUGUGCCUCUCUUAGUGGGAAGGUUGCACCAACAUCAUGACGAGAACAUUGAUUUUGUAAUAAAGUUUUCAAACAGCUAA
rnacentral:lncRNA from 1 species